rnacentral:lncRNA from 1 species
AGUCAUCCACAUGAGCCCACGAAUCUCGAUCAAAAAUCCUACUUCAGGAAAUCAGCACAGUAUGCUAGUACUGUGCUGAUCCUUCUUCGAUGGUUGAUCAGAUGCCUUCUUCUUCUUGAUUUGGGCUCUUUCAAAGAUGAGAAGUAGGAGAAAGAGUUUUAGAUUUGAGAUGCUCUCAGAAAACUCAAGAUGGAGGAAGAGAAGAGAUAAAACUAACAACCCUAGAAGAAGACCCUCUUCUUCUUCUCUUUACUUUCUCCUAGAC